AGUUUGGUUCCCAAAGACUCGACUGAAUAAAGUCUCUGGCAAGGCUAACGGAAUUGAGGUGGUAGCUAGCCACUUAGACGGAAUGCUUGUCAAAGAAUUGAUGACACCAGGGACUCAACCCUUGAAGCAAAUGCUACUAGGUUGGAUAGCUUUCAACAAGAGGAUAGCUUGAAGGGCUCUAUGGCCCCAUUGAAGAGUGUGUUAUUGGAUUGGACAACUCAAAGAAAGUUACAAUUCAAAUGGUGGAUGAAUUUUCAGAUGACAUUAGAAAAGCCAUCUCGUCGGGACAGAGAUUGUAGAUGUCAAUGCAAGAGUAAAUCUCAUAAUAGAAGCAGUUGGAGACUAAGACCCAGUUGGGAGCAUGACCAGUUUAACCAGGUUGAAGAAUCAUUGCCGAGAUGAGUGGAGAUCAAGGAAGAAGAGCAAGAGAUGGAGGGCUGAAGAAUCGUUGUUGAGAUGAGUGGAGAAGGAAGACGAAGGAAAGAUGGAGGGUUGAAGAGUCCUUGCCGAGAUGAGUGGAGAAGGAAGAUGAACCAGAGAUUUAAGGGUAUUCUGGUGGUGACACGUUAACUUAUGAUUGUUCAACUUCUUUUGUAGAUUUUGGAGGCACAUUAUAGCUAUAUUUUGAAGUUUUUAAAUAUCUUAAA